rnacentral:rRNA from 1 species
CUGAAAUCAAGUGUGACGACCCCCUGAAUUAUGCAUAU